rnacentral:rRNA from 1 species
UUGAACGCUGGCGGAAUGCUUUACACAUGCAAGUCGAACGGCAGCACGGGGGCAACCCUGGUGGCGAGUGGCGAACGGGUGAGUAAUACCUAGGAACAUGUCCAGUAGUGGGGGAUAACGCAGCGAAAGCUGUGCUAAUACCGCAUACGCCCUAUGGGGGAAAGCGGGGGAUCGCAAGACCUCGCGCGAUAGGAGCGGCCGAUAUCGGAUUAGCUAGUUGGUGAGGUAAAGGCUCACCAAGGCGACGAUCCGUAGCUGGUCUGAGAGGACGACCAGCCACACUGGAACUGAGACACGGUCCAGACUCCUACGGGAGGCAGCAGUGGGGAAUUUUGGACAAUGGGGGAAACCCUGAUCCAGCCAUUCCGCGUGAGUGAAGAAGGCCUUCGGGUUGUAAAGCUCUUUCGGCAGGAACGAAACGGUAAGGGCUAAUAUCCUUUGCUAAUGACGGUACCUGAAGAAGAAGCACCGGCUAACUACGU